rnacentral:rRNA from 1 species
GACGAACGCUGGCGGCGUGCCUAAUACAUGCAAGUAGAACGCUGAAGGAGGAGCUUGCUUCUCUGGAUGAGUUGCGAACGGGUGAGUAACGCGUAGGUAACCUGCCUGGUAGCGGGGGAUAACUAUUGGAAACGAUAGCUAAUACCGCAUAAGAGUAGAUGUUGCAUGACAUUUGCUUAAAAGGUGCAAUUGCAUCACUACCAGAUGGACCUGCGUUGUAUUAGCUAGUUGGUGAGGUAACGGCUCACCGAGGCAACGAUACAUAGCCGACCUGAGAGGGUGAUCGGCCACACUGGGACUGAGACACGGCCCAGACUCCUACGGGAGGCAGCAGUAGGGAAUCUUCGGCAAUGGACGGAAGUCUGACCGAGCAACGCCGCGUGAGUGAAGAAGGUUUUUCGGAUCGUAAAGCUCUGUUGUAAGAGAAGAACGAGG